rnacentral:rRNA from 1 species
UACAGAGGUCCCAAGCGUUGUUCGGAUUCACUGGGCGUAAAGGGUGCGUAGGUGGCGGGGUAAGUUUGAUGUGAAAUCUCCGAGCUACAACAUCGGGAAAUGGCAUUGAAUACUACUCUGCUCGAGGUUUGGGAGGGGGACUGGAAUUCUCGGUGUAGCAGUGAAAUGCGUAGAUAUCAGGAGGAACACCGAUGGCGAAGGCAGGUCUCUGGGCUGACACUGACGCUCGAUGCACGAAAGCGUGGGGAGCAAACAGG